rnacentral:rRNA from 1 species
UAGGGAAUCUUCCGCAAUGGGCGAAAGCUUGACGGAGCAACGCCGCGUGAGUGAUGAAGGUCUUCGGAUCGUAAAACUCUGUUAUUAGGGAAGAACAAAUGUGUAAGUAACUAUGCACGUCUUGACGGUACCUAAUCAGAAAGCCACGGCUAACUACGUGCCAGCAGCCGCGGUAAUACGUAGGUGGCAAGCGUUAUCCGGAAUUAUUGGGCGUAAAGCGCGCGUAGGCGGUUUUGUAAGUCUGAUGUGAAAGCCCACGGCUCAACCGUGGAGGGUCAUUGGUAACUGGAAGACUUGAGUGCAGAAGAGGAAAGUGGAAUUCCAUGUGUAGCGGUGAAAUGCGCAGAGAUAUGGAGGAACACCAGUAGCGAAGGCGACUUUCUGGUCUGUAACUGACGCUGAUGUGCGAAAGCGUGGGGAUCAAACAGG